GAUCCUGGCUCAGGACGAACGCUGGCGGCGUGCCUAACACAUGCAAGUCGAACGGAACUGUUUUGAAAGAUUUCUUCGGAAUGAAUUUGAUUUAGUUUAGUGGCGGACGGGUGAGUAACGCGUGAGUAACCUGCCUUCAAGAGGGGGAUAACAUUCUGAAAAGAAUGCUAAUACCGCAUAAUAUAUCGGAACCACAUGGUUUUGAUAUCAAAGAUUUUAUCGCUUGAAGAUGGACUCGCGUCCGAUUAGUUAG
rnacentral:rRNA from 1 species